rnacentral:misc_RNA from 1 species
GAUGAAUAACGCAGCGAAAUGCGAUAAGUAAUGUGAAUUGCAGAAUUCAGUGAAUCAUCGAAUCUUUGAACGCACAUUGCGCCCGUCAGUAUUCUGGCGGGCAUGCCUGUUCGAGCGUCAUUACGCCCCUCAAGUCCCCUGUGGACUUGGUGUUGGGGAUCGGCGAGGCUGGUUUUCCAGCACAGCCGUCCCUUAAAUUAAUUGGCGGUCUCGCCGUGGCCCUCCUCUGCGCAGUAGUAAAACACUCGCAACAGGAGCCCGGCGCGGUCCACUGCCGUAAAACCCCCCAACUUUUUAUAGUUGACCUCGAAUCAGGUAGGACUACCCGCUGAACUUAAGCAUAUCAAUAAGCGGAGGA